rnacentral:rRNA from 1 species
AUGUAUUCUGAACAUUGGCAAGUCCGCUUACAUAAAUUCUUCUAUUUUGCCAUUGCAACGAGAGAAAAAAAAUAUAUACAUGCAGUGCCAAUGGAGAACUUGGCCCAAUUGAUAAUAUACCCAUCUUGGGCACUAUACAUCUAUUUCAUAUCAACGUUUGCUACUGACGUUGUGAUAGUUAAUGUUUCAUACUCCACAUUUGUUUCUUUUUCAGACAAAUCGAGAACCAUCUAUCAUAGUAUUCACCUUCUUGCAAAUUUCUUAUUUUUUUUAGAAAAGCUACUUUCUGUCUUUGAGUGCCGGUAA